AACGCACAUUGCGCCCGGCAGCAAUCUGCCGGGCAUGCCUGUCCGAGCGUCAUUUCUGCCCUCGAGCUCGGUUCUCUCGAACCGACGCCCGGUGUUGGGGCGCUGCGGGCUCAGCCCCGCAGGCCCUGAAAUGAAGUGGCGGUCCCGCCGCGGCGCCCCCUGCGUAGUAAGUCUUUGCACCUCGCAUCGGGUCCCGGCGUAGGCCAGCCGUCGAACCUAUCUCUUGAUGGUUUGACCUCGGAUCAGGUAGGGUUACCCGCUGAACUUAA
rnacentral:misc_RNA from 1 species